rnacentral:misc_RNA from 1 species
UUAUAAUUUAACUUUGUUCAGACGCAUUGUACGAGUAAAAUCCUUUGGCGGGCUCUGCCCGCCAAAGCAACAGGUUGGUAGAUUGGGUUUGAGGUCGGCCGGAGCCUUCUCAGUAAUGAUCCUUCCGCAGGUUCACCUACGGAAA